GUCUCUCUCUGACAUAUACUAAAAUUGGAAUGAUACAGGGAAGAUUAGCACAGCCCCUGAGCAAGGAUGACAUGCAAAUUUGUGAAGUGUUCCAUAACAAA
rnacentral:snRNA from 1 species